rnacentral:tRNA from 1 species
AGGGCUAUAGCUCAGUUGGUAGAGCAACUCGUUUACUACGGUUCGAGCCCGUAUAGCCCUA